CUCAAAGUGGAGGAAAAACAGAAAGAAUGUCAAGCUGCUUCACAGAAAAUGGAAGCAGAGAAGAAGAAGAAGAAAUGGCACCUCAAUUGCUUCACAGAGUACAGCAGUUCUAAUCAGGUUGUAAAAAUAUCUGUUUACUCAGUUUCUGAUGUGGAUGAUGAAAUAGACUACUCUAUCAAGCAAGAAUUAUGAUACAAAACUUGAUAAUAAAGAUGAGUUAUGGGUUCACAUGGAAAGAAAAGGUCGUGACGACUCGGAUGCUGUUCUUACUUGUCCAGCUUGUUUUAGUACCCUUUGUGUUGAAUGUCAAAGACAUGGAAAGUACCUCACGCUAUACAGAGCUAUAUUCAUCGCCAACUGAAAGAUCAAGAUUAAUCAAGUUCUGCGACCAAGUUAUCAAAAACCAAAGACCAGUAAUAACAAGUGGAAGAGAUGGUGGUGGAAUAGAUGAAGUGGGUGCCUCAACUAAGGAAACAUUUCAACCUGUGUGGUGCAUAGUAUUGCAACCUGAGGCGAAUGUACGAGGAAGCAGCAAAACUAGUGGGCUCUUUCUAGAGCAUUUUUGCGUACGGAGGAACAAGCAGUGGAGGACAUACCACGACUAAAUUUAUACUACGACUACAGGGAGAGGCAAGCACCAAGGAAUUCAUCUUUAAAUAUUCUACAAUGAAGCUGUCAGAGGCCUAGAACUGACUCCUGGACAACAAUAUUAAGUAGGAUGUCUAAUUAGAUUGGGCCACCGAAUAUUUUCCAGGACAUGGAAGUGCUGUGUUGCGAUUCCAAUAUUUCUUAUAGGGGCAACCUCAAAAAUGCGCCCGAAACUAGCCCUUGAUAGAGAGUGGUGGAGGAAAAAGAAGGAAUGGAGACUCAAGAUGCAGCAGCUUCACAGAAAAUGGAAGUAGAGAGGGCAAAAGAAGAAGAUGAAGAUGAAGAAGAAAUGUCAUCUCCAACUGCUUCACAGAAGACAGGCAUGAAAAGUACCUUACACAAUACAUAGCUGUAUUUGUUGGCAACUGCAAGAUCAAGAUUAGUCAAAUUCUGCGACGAAGUUAUCAUAAACCAAAAACCAGUGAUAAAGGUGGAAGAGAUCAUGGUGGAUAACCCAUUUGAAGACGACACUGGCCAAGAUUGGACAGAAGAAGCGAAAAGCCCAUCCAGCUGCUCUUGUCCUAGUAAAGAGACGCAACUCGCAUCUGUUUAUUCAGGUAUCAUUUGGUCUUCAGAUUCAUUGAUGAAGUGGGUGCCUCAACUAGGAAACAUUUUAGCCUGCGUGUUGCAUAUUUUGUUCAACAGAAGUUGGUGUCGUCGCCAAUGAUGAGGUUUAUCAUUUCUUCAUUAUUCUUCAUAGUUAGUUUACAUUUCAUAGAAACCAGAUACCUAUAAAUUCAUUUUUCUUAGUCCUGUUUCUUGUUUCCAUUGUUCAUCGUGUGAUUUUGGGUUCUAGAUCAAAAUAGUCAAUACUAGAUCUAGUUAUUGAUACGGCAGGAAGUUCUAGUUCUUUAUUAAAUAAUUGUCCUGAAAAACCAAAAACUCAGUAUAAUCUGGUUCCGGGUUGCCUGUCAUAAUCUCGCCUGGAGAUUAUAUUCUUCAACACUUUUCAUUUA